CACUGACUGCUAUCGGAUUGAUACUAAGCCAUGCGAGUCAUUGUAGUAAUACAAGGCAGACGGCUCAGUAACGCGUAGUCAACCUAACCUAUGGACGGGAAUAACCUCGGGAAACUGAGUAUAAUGCCCGAUAGAACAACUAUGCCUGGAAUGGUUUAUGUUCCAAAUGAUUUAUCGCCGUAGGAUGGGACUGCGGCCUAUCAGUUUGUUGGUGAGGUAAUGGCCCACCAAGACUAUUACAGGUACGGGCUCUGAGAGGAGUAGCCCGGAGAUGGGUACUGAGACACGGACCCAGGCCCUAUGGGGCGCAGCAGGCGAGAAAACUUUGCAAUGUGCGAAAGCACGACAAGGUUAAUCCGAGUGGUUUCUGCUAAAGGAACCUUUUGACAGUCCUAGAAACACUGUUGAAUAAGGGGUGGGCAAGUUCUGGUGUCAGCCGCCGCGGUAAAACCAGCACCUCAAGUGGUCAGGAUGAUUAUUGGGCCUAAAGCAUCCGUAGCCGGCUCUGUAAGUUUUCGGUUAAAUCUGUACGCUCAACGUACAGGCUGCCGGGAAUACUGCAGAGCUAGGGAGUGGGAGAGGUAGGACGGUACUCGGUAGGAAGGGGUAAAAUCCUUUGAUCUAUUGAUGACCACCUGUGGCGAAGGCGGUCUACCCAGAACACGUCCGACGGUGAGGGAUGAAAA
rnacentral:rRNA from 1 species